GAUGAACGCUGGCGGCGUGCCUAAUACAUGCAAGUCGAGCGAACGGACGAGAAGCUUGCUUCUCUGAUGUUAGCGGCGGACGGGUGAGUAACACGUGGAUAACCUACCUAUAAGACUGGGAUAACUUCGGGAAACCGUAGCUAAUACCGGAUAAUAUUUUGAACCGCAUGGUUCAAAAGUGAAAGACGGUCUUGCUGUCACUUAUAGAUGGAUCCGCGCUGCAUUAGCUAGUUGGUAAGGUAACGGCUUACCAAGGCAACGAUGCAUAGCCGACCUGAGAGGGUGAUCGGCCACACUGGAACUGAGACACGGUCCAGACUCCUACGGGAGGCAGCAGUAGGGAAUCUUCCGCAAUGGGCGAAAGCCUGGCGGAGCAACGCCGCGUGAGUGAUGAAGGUCUUCGGAUCGUAAAACUCUGUUAUUAGGGAAGAACAUAUGUGUAAGUAACUGUGCACAUCUUGACGGUACCUAAUCAGAAAGCCACGGCUAACUACGUGCCAGCAGCCGCGGUAAUACGUAGGUGGCAAGCGUUAUCCGGAAUUAUUGGGCGUAGAGCGCGCGUAGGCGGUUUUUUAAGUCUGAUGUGAAAGCCCACGGCUCAACCGUGGAGGGUCAUUGGAAACUGGAAAACUUGAGUGCAGAAGAGGAAAGUGGAAUUCCAUGUGUAGCGGUGAAAUGCGCAGAGAUAUGGAGGAACACCAGUGGCGAAGGCGACUUUCUGGUCUGUAACUGACGCUGAUGUGCGAAAGCGUGGGGAUCAAACAGGAUUAGAUACCCUGGUAGUCCACGCCGUAAACGAUGAGUGCUAAGUGUUAGGGGGUUUCCGCCCCUUAGUGCUGCAGCUAACGCAUUAAGCACUCCGCCUGGGGAGUACGACCGCAAGGUUGAAACUCAAAGGAAUUGACGGGGACCCGCACAAGCGGUGGAGCAUGUGGUUUAAUUCGAAGCAACGCGAGGAACCUUACCAAAUCUUGACAUCCUUUGACAACUCUAGAGAUAGAGCCUUCCCCUUCGGGGGACAAAGUGACAGGUGGUGCAUGGUUGUCGUCAGCUCGUGUCGUGAGAUGUUGGGUUAAGUCCCGCAACGAGCGCAACCCUUAAGCUUAGUUGCCAUCAUUAAGUUGGGCACUCUAAGUUGACUGCCGGUGACAAACCGGAGGAAGGUGGGGAUGACGUCAAAUCAUCAUGCCCCUUAUGAUUUGGGCUACACACGUGCUACAAUGGACAAUACAAAGGGCAGCGAAACCGCGAGGUCAAGCAAAUCCCAUAAAGUUGUUCUCAGUUCGGAUUGUAGUCUGCAACUCGACUACAUGAAGCUGGAAUCGCUAGUAAUCGUAGAUCAGCAUGCUACGGUGAAUACGUUCCCGGGUCU
rnacentral:rRNA from 1 species